GGUGCAGCAGGCGCGAAAACUUUACAAUGCUGGCAACAGCGAUAAGGGGACCUUGAGUGCCAGGAUACAAUCCUGGCUGUCGUGAUGCCUAAAAAGCAUUAUAUAGCAAGGGCCGGGCAAGACCGGUGCCAGCCGCCGCGGUAACACCGGCGGCUCGAGUGGUAACCGCUAUUAUUGGGUCUAAAGGGUCUGUAGCCGGCUUGGUUAGUCUCUUGGGAAAUCCGGCAGCUUAACUGUCGGGCUUUCAGGAGAUACUGCCAGGCUCGAGACCGGGAGAGGUGAGAGGUACUUCAUGGGUAGGGGUGAAAUCUUGUAAUCCUUGAAGGACCACCAGUGGCGAAGGCGUCUCACCAGAACGGAUCUGACGGCAAGGGACGAAAGCUAGGGGCACGAACCGGAUUAGAUACCCGGGUAGUCCUAGCCGUAAACGAUACUCGCUAGGUGUCGGCCACGGUGCGACCGUGGUCGGUGCCGUAGGGAAGCCGUGAAGCGAGCCACCUGGGAAGUACGGCCGCAAGGCUGAAACUUAAAGGAAUUGGCGGGGGAGCACAAGGGCGAAUCGCG
rnacentral:rRNA from 1 species